rnacentral:misc_RNA from 1 species
ACACCUCAACUCUCAUGGGUUUGCCAUGAUGAGCUUGGACUCUGGAGGUCUUGCUGGCUCAUGGUCAGCUCCUCUCAAAUUAAUCAGCUUUCCAGUGUUUGGUGGCAUUACAGGUGUGAUAACUAUCUACGCUUGUGGUGUCCUCCCAGGUAACCUUCAGUGAUGGAGGUCGCUGGAGCUAAUAAAUGUGCAUCUCUCAUUGAAGAGAUGGCUUUUUAGAU